GCACCGCCCUCCCUGAGGGCACAGGCGUGGCUCCCUCUCCUCUCUCCCCAAUGGUUGGUUUUCUAGGUACCUGCUUUCAGUUUCCGUUUGGGGUUUGGUUGUUCUGACGACCGAGCCUUCUGGAGAGACUCCGCCCUGGCGCCCGCCCGCGCGCUCUCCGCCCGCCCUCCCGGAGCUGGAAUCAGCGCGAGGGUGCCUGAACGCGUCUCCUGACAGAACCACCUUUACCGGAAUAGGACAGGAUGACAGUUACCCUUGCAAUGAGUCAGGAGUGAUGAACUAUGACUUCCGGCUGGGAUGGCUAAGGUGCUGACGCAUUGACAGAAGAAUGCUUAGAAGUGGCACGGAGCAGUUUUAAAAUGGUAAUGCCUCCUACCAUGUGGUGAUGCAGCAGGAAGGCCCUUAACAAAUGCUGCCACCUUGAUAUUGGACUUUUCAGGCUCCAAAACUGAACAUUAGAGCAUCGACUUUUACAGCACAUUUUAAGAG